AUGACCCCUUCUAGGAAGCCUUGCAAAGUCCGCCCUGCCUAUUGCCCCUUUUUGAGGACUUCAUUAUGCAACCUACAAUUCUUGGCUCUGAAGGAGCAAGAGCAGGGCCUCCUAAAUGGCACCUUUCUAUUAGGCUUACCAAAGGCCUGGUAGAUGUGCUUUGCCCAACAGGAAAUCUCUAUACUGAGUAACAUUGAACCAUCUAGAUUUCUCUCUUGGGUAGGUUUAACCGUGACGCAUGCAAAGGACAGUCCUUAGUCAAGGUAGAUGCAGAAAGGCUCACAGAGGGAAGUGAGAGCAGAGAGUAAGCAGAAGCCAUGGGACAGCCUAAAGGAGAAUAGAGAAAAGAUGACCAGGAGCGGCAGAAGCAAGAGCAGAGAGAGAAUGAUUGAGACCCCAGAGUGCGGAAACACUACGGUAGGGAGCAAAGGAUGGCGCCCCCUGCUGAGAGGUCCAGAAUGGCAGGCUGCAGUUACAUCUUCAACAACCUUCUGCAGCAGCGUGAUGUCUCUGCUUUUAUGUCUCUGUAUUGUUGCAAUAAAUUCUUACUCUUUAUCUG
rnacentral:lncRNA from 1 species